rnacentral:rRNA from 1 species
CCUACGGGAGGCUGCAGUGAGGAAUAUUGGUCAAUGGACGAGAGUCUGAACCAGCCAAGUAGCGUGAAGGAUGACUGCCCUAUGGGUUGUAAACUUCUUUUAUAUGGGAAUAAAAUGAUCCACGUGUGGGAUUUUGUAUGUACCAUAUGAAUAAGGAUCGGCUAACUCCGUGCCAGCAGCCGCGGUAAUACGGAGGAUCCGAGCGUUAUCCGGAUUUAUUGGGUUUAAAGGGAGCGUAGGUGGAGUGUUAAGUCAGUUGUGAAAGUUUGCGGCUCAACCGGAAAAUUGCAGUUGAAACUGGCAGUCGUGAGUACAGUAGAGGUGGGCGGAAUUCGUGGUGUAGCGGUGAAAUGCUUAGAUAUCACGAAGAACUCCGAUUGCGAAGGCAGCUCACUGGACUGCAACUGACACUGAGGCUCGAAAGUGUGGGUAUCAAACAGGAUUAGAUACCCUAGUAGUC